GAUGAACGCUGGCGGCGUGCCUAAUACAUGCAAGUCGAGCGAAGCGGGGACGGGUGAGUAACACGUGGAUAACCUCCUAUAAGACUGGGAUAACUUCGGGAAACCGGAGCUAAACCGGAUACUUAUCGAUGGAUCCGCUCUGCAUGAGCUAGUUGGUAAGGUAACGGCUCACCAAGGCAACGAUGCAUAGCCGAACUGAGAGGGUGAUCAGCCACACUGGAACUGAGACACGGUCCAGACGCCUACGGGAGGCAGCAGUAGGGAAUCUUGCGAAAUGGGCGAAAGCCUGACGGAGCCACGCCGCGUGAGUGAAGAAGGUCUUCGGAUCGUAAAACUCUGUUAUUAGGGAGGCGGUACCUAAAGAGAAAGCCACGGCUAACUACGUGCCAGCCGCCGCGGUAAUAG
rnacentral:rRNA from 1 species